CGCAUUCUGUGCAGCCUUGCCAGCUGGUGAGCGGGCAGAGCGGCAGGCCAGAGGUGCGGGUCUGUGGAGCAGCUGCAGCCACAGCAGCGUCAGCUCUGCAUGCCAGAGUUGUCAGCGUUUGGCCUGUCAGUGGGUAAGGAGCGCUGUGUUGCGCACCAGCCUUAGUCAAAGCGCUUGAAAGGGUAAAUUCGGAGCAGGAAAGGGGCAGGCGGAGUUUUGCGAGUAGUUCUUUGCUCCUUUGGAGACCCCAGGCGUGUGGUUUCCGCUCUCGGCAGGGAAGCAGAGAGAAAGAGUGACCUGUACGUCGUGACUGUGCUUAUGUGGUGCGGUGCGUGCUUACGUCUUUUUUCAUGGUUCCGAGGGGGACAAGUCCCCAGGUGUUUCAGCAGGGACACAUGAGUGGCUAACCUUGCCUUCUGUGGCUCAAAGCCACUACUGAAAACGCAGGGUUCACUGCUGCCGCCGCGCCUUCAGCAGCCACAAAAAUGCAGAGCCAGCAAUCUAUCAGCAUGGCUCAAAGGCCCUGAGGGUAUCCGCAGGGAAUGUCUUAUCCCUUCCAUACGUGUGCUUAGGAGGAUCCGCGCGGGUCUGAUUUCUGCACUCUGACAAAUGCUUUCUUGUUGGGGUUUCACCUGGCAGACAGCUAAACGCCAGACAGCUGCUUGCUCACCCUGCCCGUGUGGGUUAUGGGAUGGAACUGGUGAGGCAACGGUGUGAGAAUCCAGAGGGUGAGAUAAAGGUGUUCCGAGAGGUAAAGCAAAAGCUGCAGGCGUAAGCAAAGCAAAGCCAGGAAUUCUUUUGCUGCUCCCCCUGGGCAGGCAGAUAGACGCUCGUCUGCUUUCUGGGGAGCAGGGUUUAGCACGCGUAACAGCUUGCUGGGAAGACAAAGCCAUCACUCCCGAGGUGAACAGCUCCUUCUUCCUUAG
rnacentral:lncRNA from 1 species